rnacentral:rRNA from 1 species
GAUCAUGGCUCAGGAUGAACGCUAGCUACAGGCUUAACACAUGCAAGUCGAGGGGAAACGAUAUUGGAAGCUUGCUUCCGAUAGGCGUCGACCGGCGCACGGGUGAGUAACGCGUAUCCAACCUGCCCAUCACUUGGGAAUAACCUUGCGAAAGUAAGACUAAUGCCCAACUGACAUUUAUUAGAAGGACGAUCUGAAAUAGAAUUAAAGAAUUUAAUUACGGUUGGAUGGAUGGGGAGUGCGU